UCCAUCGAGCGGAUUGUCCGAUUUUUGCUCGGGAAGAUUUUAGCCCAUUUCGACUUUUGGGCUAGAUUUCUCGAAAACCGUGAAUCCCACGAGAAAACCGAGGCCACCAGCACGCUCCAUUCGUCGAGAGCUUCGCAACGACAUAAAUUUCGAAUUUUUCCGACACCGUUUUUCGGUAUCCUCGAUUCGCGGAAAUUCGACAGUUGACCGGGUCUGCAAAUUUCGGGCCAGACAGACCCGUUACCGGAAAAGUCUCCGAAUUGGACCGAGGUUUUGGCUAGCCCCCCAUUGUCAGACGUCCCGAGCGCGUUCCCGAAGUCGGAAUCGGCAAAGGUGAGCCGGGACAGCCUUCUUCCUCCGCCCAGCCGCCACAGUAAUUUGUCGUCAAGUUUGCCGCAGGAGGAUAUUUUGUUCUGGGUUAACCUGCUUUUCUACUUCGCAGGUUGUUUAUUAAUAUUUGUGUAAUUUUAUUUACUCCUAGAAUUUCCGCAUGUGUUAGCAGUAAUUAUUUGAAUUUGGUCUGUAAUAUUAUUAUCAUGUUGGACCUGUAAACUUAAUAUUUUAAGUCUGUUUGAUGGAUUGGAUGAGGGAGCUGAGCUCCCAUUUAUUAUUA